rnacentral:rRNA from 1 species
GACGAACGCUGGCGGCGUGCCUAAUACAUGCAAGUAGAACGCUGAAGAGAGGAGCUUGCUCUUCUUGGAUGAGUUGCGAACGGAUGAGUAACGCGUAGGUAACCUGCCUUGUAGCGGGGGAUAACUAUUGGAAACGAUAGCUAAUACCGCAUAACAAUGGAUGACACAUGUCAUUUAUUUGAAAGGGGCAAUUGCUCCACUACAAGAUGGACCUGCGUUGUAUUAGCUAGUAGGUGAGGUAAUGGCUCACCUAGGCGACGAUACAUAGCCGACCUGAGAGGGUGAUCGGCCACACUGGGACUGGGACACCGCCCAGACUCCUACGGGAGGCAGCAGUAGGGAAUCUUCGGCAAUGGGGGCAACCCUGACCGAGCAACGCCGCGUGAGUGAAGAAGGUUUUCGGAUCGUAAAGCUCUGUUGUAAGUCAAGAACGGGUGUGAGAGUGGAAAGUUCACACUGUGACGGUAGCUUACCAGAAAGGGACGGCUAACUACGUG